GAUGAACGCUGGCGGCGUGCCUAAUACAUGCAAGUCGAGCGAAUGGAUUGAGAGCUUGCUCUUAUGAAGUUAGCGGCGGACGGGUGAGUAACACGUGGGUAACCUGCCCAUAAGACUGGGAUAACUCCGGGAAACAGGGGCUAAUACCGGAUAACAUUUUGAACCGCAUGGUUCGAAAUUGAAAGGCGGCUUCGGCUGUCACUUAUGGAUGGACCCGCGUCGCAUUAGCUAGUUGGUGAGGUAACGGAUCACCAAGGCAACGAUGCGUAGCCGUCCGGAGAGGGUGAUGGGCCACACUGGGACUGAGACACCGCCCAGACUCCUACGGGAGGUAGCAGUAGGGAAUCUUCCGCAAUGGACGAGAGUCUGACGGAGCAACGCCGCGUGAGUGAUGAAGGCUUUCGGGUCGUAAAACUCUGUUGUUAGGGAAGAACAAGUGCUAGUUGAAUAAGCUGGCACCUUGACGGUACCUAACCAGAAAGCCACGGCUGACUACGUGCCAGCCGCCGCAGUAA
rnacentral:rRNA from 1 species